rnacentral:lncRNA from 1 species
CCCCCUUGCUGAGAGCUCGCAGACAGAAAUGAGGAGGAGCUUUUGUUGCUGAAUGUGAACAGUCUGACAGCCUUAAGCCCAACCUGGGCAUUCUCCUAGAGAUUUGGUGAUGUUUGUGUUGUAUGUCCACAUGUUGUUUAGGCUCUGCAGGUAUGAGGAACUUCCUGGUGGGCUUUAACAGAAGACUCACUACCUAAUAUCUUUGUUGAAUCCGCUAAAGGCCUUUUCUGAUUGAUGAAAACGUUCAUGUCCUUGCUGAGGAUGGCCUGAGUCACGCUGUCAGUUUGCGAUACUGUGCUGUCCACACGUGUUCUCUGACAAAGGCAUAAAGGCUGCUGAAGCUAAUGUGUUGGAGCACACAGUUAUUUGCAACUGAGCUGCAUAGGCUUAACUCUGUAGAUGGAGACAAACGAGGGACACCAAGAGCCAAUGCCAGAGGGAAAUCCCUGAUCCGAACCUGUGGAUGGAUUAGAAGAGCUCAGGGGCUGAAAAGCAGGACAUGCGUAAGGUAUCUCUGAAGCUGAAAUAGCACAGGCUCUGGAGGGCCUUUCCCUGUGUCGGUAGCCUUGCUGGGAACGAGCCUGCUGGGGAGUGACAAGGCAGAGGUAAUUCUUAGCAACAGAGGCAGUGAGUUCCUCAGUUGUGGACUAGUCCUUGCAGAAGCUUGCAGAACGCAAACUUUCACUUUUAAAAUAGCAUUGACUCUUCCUUGUGUUGGAGAGAUCAUCCCAGGGUGGCCCCAGAGCUGAAUGUGCUGCUAGAGGAGAGAUUCCAGAGGUCUCCAUUUCACUGGGAUACUGGCUCUUUCAUGGCUUGACCUUUGUAAACCUCCCCUUACAAGCAAUGGAAGAUGUGCCACAGAUCAAAGGUAUUUUAACUUGGCUGCCUCUGUCAACCUUAGAGUGUAAUUAG